ensembl:lncRNA
UAUAAUGUUUGUUGAUGCUUAUGUUCAUGUAAUGAAGUCUCUUCUCAUGUGCAUGCAGCUCAACAUGUGUUUUAUUGUCCAAUUGCAUAAAAAACACAUUUACAGGCAAUAGAUUAACCAGAAAAACUUAUCCAAACUCUUUUGCUUACUGAGCUCAUAGUAUAAUUAUCUAACAGUAAAGAAUAUGGCUGUUCAGAGUGACUGCCUCUUCCCAUUGUUCUCUUACAGCUGAUUUGCAUCCCCAUGUGUCUAACAAAAACAGAAAACCACAGGGGGAGGUAGGAAAUGUUACAUGCAAAAUUAUGUACCAUCUAUAUCUGAUGAAAUGAAAAGUAUUUGGAAAGACUCAAUGGCUCUUCACCAGAUGAUACUGAGGAACCUAGAGAUCCUGUCAGGGAUGAAGUGGAAUAUUCGUGGCUUCUGGCUUAUUUUAUCUGCCCUUUUCUGCAUAUCUUCAGUAAAUCUCAGCGAUAAUACCCCUCCAAAACCUGUUUGUCCUCUGCAAUCAACAUCUGAAUGCAGGCGAAAUGAAAAUAAUAAGAUGGAUAUGUUCAUACUGGGUUCAAGUGGUUUCAAAGGAUACAUGAAAAUAGCUAAUUGCAAAAAAGGUAAAUGGGAUAUUCCACAGGAGACAGUGAGCCCACUUCAGUGCCAUUCUUAUGUGUCAUCAGAGAACCUAUUCAGAGUCUCUGUUUUUCCACUUGUUGAAAAUGCAUCCUGUCCAGAAAACACAUCCUGUACAAUACACAGGAGUGACUGCGGUGUAACUUUAUCAAGAAACUCACCUUACAAACUCAACAUAAGCAGAUGUGUUAUGCCCACGUUUGUCUGUUUAAUUCAAGGGAAAUGUAAAAAUGACACUUUGACAAACUGGAUGACAGAAGGUAAAUGAAAGAGCUUACAUUGAGUCUAUGAAUUUGGUAACCUUUGAUUUUAGAAAUGUGUAACAACAGUCUGUAGUUUUCUUUAAAAUGUCCAGUUUCAAUUUAUUCACUAUAUACUUGCUGUAUUACAAGAGCUAUGUCUUGUGCAGAUCAUAUCUGAUAGUUAGAAUAUUUUUGUUCUCUUUCUAAAAGGUUGUAAAUGGACCCAGCAAAACUCGUAUACGUAUUUUAAGGUUACUAGUGAGUAUAAUUCCAAAAAUUUCUACAUAUAAUAUUAAAGAUAUUAGACUAAUAAAAUAGUAUUUCCUGUUGUGAUGUGGAGUCA